UGGGCGCAAGCCUGAUACAGCGACGCCGCGUGAGGGAUGACGGCCUUCGGAUUGUAAACCUCUUUCAGCAGGGACGAAACGCAAGUGACGGUACCUGCAGAAAAAGCACCGGCCAACUACGUGCCAGCAGCCGCGGUAAUACGUAGGGUCCGAGCGUGUCCGGAAUUACUGGGCGUAAAGAGCUCGUAAGCGGUUUGUCACGUUGUUCGUGAAACCUCACAACUUAACUGGGGGCGUGCGGGCGAUACGGGCAGACCUGAGUACUGCAGGGGAGACUGGAAUUCCUGGUGGAGCGGU
rnacentral:rRNA from 1 species